GCUCGUGGAUAUCUUUUGUAUAUACUUUGUCAGACUAAGAACAAGCAACUUGUUCCUUAUCCAGCUCACAGUGGUGAUGGGAUACUUAAGAAUAAUUAGGUUUCUUCCUAUCUUCAAGCUAGCAAUUCCAAUGCUGAUAAAUAUUGUAGAUGUGCAGGUCAAAAAACACCUCAGCUUGAUGUACAAUAUUACAAAAGGCUAUGUCAAAAGUCAAGAAGAUGCCAAACUUUUAAUGAAACAAAUUUCUGGCCGUAAAUCAAUAUACAAGGUGAGAGAUAAGCAUUGUUUGUGGGGGGGGGGGCAGGGGAUAGAAAACCACCUAGAUGUAUUAAUUUCUUUUCAAUCAUUUCUAUAUCUGUUGGGCCAAACGGACACCAGAAGUUGAAGGGGUCUGUUUAU
rnacentral:lncRNA from 1 species